rnacentral:rRNA from 1 species
GCAAGUCGAACGAGAAAGCACCUUCGGGUGCGAGUAUAGUGGCGGACGGGUGCGUAACACGUGGGAAUCUACCUAAUAGUAUGGAAUAACAGUUAGAAAUGACUGCUAAUACCGUAUACUCCCUUCGGGGGAAAGAUUUAUCGCUAUUAGAUGAGCCCGCGUCCGAUUAGCUUGUUGGUGAGGUAAUGGCUCACCAAGGCAACGAUCGGUAGCUGGUUUGAGAGGAUGAUC